AGUGACGCCGCGUGCAGGACGACGCCUUUCGGGUGUAAACUGCUUUUCUUCGGGACGAGAACGGACGGUACCGGAGGAAGAAGCCUCGGCUAACUACGUGC
rnacentral:rRNA from 1 species